CCUGAAAAGCAGUGGGUGAGAAGGUUUGAUGUUUGGUGUGGAGAAGUGCCUUUGAGCGUGAUUUUCCCUAAGUUACAUAACAUAAGCAGAAGUCAGGGGGUGUCUCGGUGGAGAAUCAUGCUAAAGGGGGACAUGCUUGUUAUGGCAAAUAAGUGGAUGGAGGAAGUCAUGAUCAAGCUACUCCAACUCAAGCUGAUCAACCUUCCUGAAGCUUUCUGA
rnacentral:lncRNA from 1 species